CUAUACUGGUAGUAGAGAAAGAGGGGAUUCACUGAGCGCGAGAGGCGCGUGGGAUACAAGAGAAAACAAAAAAUAAUAUAUUUUUUUUAUGACCGUUUAAUACAAAUCGCAUAAUUCUUUGACAUGUAGUUUUCAAAGUGUUUUAUUAACGUAUGUGAUUCAUUAAAGAGGUCCUUCAACAAGUUCUGUGUGACGUUAUUCGUACAAAAUGCGUUGAUUCGUACGAAACGAGGCCUUGAUAGAAUCAUCAACGCACUAAAAACGAAAGGGUUGUUUUCAUUUUUAACGAUUAACAUGUAUAUUGUAAAAUUGUUUUGAAUGGGAGAAAUUAUGUCAAUACCUUAUCGGAGUCACAAAGAAUGUAUGUACCAAUAAUGUAAAUCGUGAGAAUGGCAUCGAUAUCAACAAAACUUGCUACGAUUAUAGCGAAUGAGAUUAUAAUCGCUUUGUAAUUGUUGAAAGUUUCUCGAACCGGCCACUUCGAAUGUUUCAAAGCCAGAAGAAGCUGUAAAAAAAUCUUAUAUAUUCGAGAGAAAAAUUGCAAUCUUCCGCGUAUACUCACCACAGCAAUCGCGCCAGACGUAAGGAAAUGAUUUAUUCUGAUGUAUAACAAAAUUAACUUUACAGCUGAUGAGCCUUCUUGUAGCCAAAUAUCUUCAAAUGUUCGCACUCAAAACGUGCGUAUAAAAACAAAACAAGCCACGAGAAAAAGCUACAUUAAGAACAAUUGGAAGUGAUGUAUUUAUAAUAUAUAACGUAUACUUCAGGUGCAAAAAAUUUAAUUUAAGACCAUAACACUUAUUUUGACUUACUUUUAUAAUGAAGUAGUUACCAGUCGUUCCUAAAAAUAUACCGGCGAAAUCUACUGUCGUUCCAAAAGCUACAUUUUCUAAAACUGCGUGCCAAUAAGAAUUGGCAUUUGAAUACAAUCUACGAGCGAUUGGCCUAUUUUUUGAGAAAUAAUAUAAGUACGAUUCUUUUGUGCGCUCGUGUAGGGCAAUGAGCCAGGAUGAAGUAUACGAAACAACUUCAGAACAUCGGGACUGUUAUACUCAUGAUACUGUAAGGUAUAUAGAUGCAUGCAGAGUCAUCUUUUGCAAAAGAAAAGAGGAUUAAGAGGAGUGGGGUAGUACGCUACAUGCUGACGCAGCGUCAAAUUGCAAGACAGAGUAUAGGCUACGGAACUAUAUAGCUGAUCGUGCCGCCGCUACUCAUAUUACAGACGUGUGUGCAUCUGUGACGAGCUGUUUGGUUCAAGGCGUAGUUCAAGGUCUACGUGUUAAUUUAUCAAGUGUUUAAUAAAAAAAACUAUAAUUUAAAAAUAUCAUUUUAUUAAAAUAGUAUAUCUUUCAUUAUGAUGCUUCGAUAGCAUCUACUCUGUCGUCAUUGUGAACAAAUGCCAUAUUGUUUGACUUUUCAUCCAAUAAGUCACUAGUUUUUUCUUCUAUAUUAUGCCCUAGCACAUAAGUAAACAGCAAUAAUUGCAAAGCACCCAAAGCAACGCUGAAAUGAAUAAAAUAAAUGUAUGUCAAACUAAAGUUAUUUGCGCCGAGAAUUAAAAAUAUAAAUUUACAAAACAUACAUGUAUGGAGUGAAUAUCGAUGUA